GCGUGCGAGGAGAAGCCCGUCUUGAAGCUGGUCCUUUCCAUUCCUCCCCUUUCUUCCAUUUGCAGUAUGGUGCUUAAUCCCUUUGUUCUCUCUAUAUUUGAUUUGCAGAAUUGCAAUACAGGACUGCUACAGCGGGUGUCAAUACACGACACACGACAGAUGCCUGAUUUAUCCGUGUGAUACACACGCUACAUGUAGUUAAAUGAUUUUUCUUUGCCCAUGCAAGUGAGAGUUUAUGGACGAAAGUGACCAUGUGUAGCAAUUCGUGUCACAAAUUCUGAAGAAAUUGAGAUAUAAAGAAAUAACAUGUGCAGUUUGAAGUCUGAAAAAAAUACAGAGGAGGCCUGGAGAGGAUUGAGGCCCUCUUUGGAUCAGCGCUGAAGAAGGCGACGCUGGAAUCUUCAUACUUUCCAUGCGAGGUGGCAUGUUUUACUCCGAUAGUCAUUCUCAAAUAUUCUAACGAAACAUGUACAUGGAGCUGAAACCUCAAACAUAUAUUUUUAUAAAGAAUUUAGAUCUUUGGUGUUGGUGAGUUUAUCACUUUUAACUGAAUCUGCUAAAGAGGUUUGUACCACAAAGUAGUUUAGUUACUCAAGCUCUUUUCAGAUUUAUUUAUGUCAAAAAGGUGGUUGAAUGAGUAGCUGAACUAAUGAUGAUAAUUGUGGUUCAUGCAUGUAUAUGCAGAGUUCUAAACUCAUAUUGAUUGUACAACACGCCCAUGAAGAUGCACAUAUUGUUUUUAUUGCAGAUUCUUUCUUUUUUCUGUUCUAUUGAAUAGUCGUAACUCAUAAGAAGCAUUUAGGUAAAAAUCAACUACGCUUAAGUGAGGAGGGGUAUGUUCUGAAAUUUUAUUUUUGUUUUCCAGAGGUUGUUGCUGAUCUGGCCACAGGAAUUCAAGGAAGGACCAGAAGGGAUAAAAAAAACUAUAGAGGAUGCUGGAGGUGAUUUAGAAGGAAAACUAUUGGACCUAGAAGAAGUGGAGUCAAGAGGUUUGCCAGCUUAUUUUUUAUGUUGUUCUGGAUGGUGUUGGGUGUAAAGUCGGAUGUACAUUUUUUUUGUUUUUCAUGAUGACUUUAGAAUCUUGCUGAUGUUAUCGAUAGCUCAAAGUAACUUAUUCUUAUGUUCAAAGUGUUACUUCUAUGGCCUA